UUGGGAAUCUUGGACAAUGGGGGAAACCCUGAUCCAGCCAUGCCGCGUGAGUGAUGAAGGCCUUAGGGUUGUAAAACUCUUUCGGCGGGGACGAUAAUGACGGUACCCGCAGAAGAAGCUCCGGCUAACUUCGUGCCAGCAGCCGCGGUAAUACGAAGGGGGCUAGCGUUGUUCGGAAUUACUGGGCGUAAAGCGUGCGCAGGCGGCCAUCCAAGUCAGUGGUGAAAGCCCGGAGCUCAACUCCGGAACUGCCAUUGAAACUGUUUGGCUCGAGUACGAGAGAGGUGAGUGGAAUUCCCAGUGUAGAGGUGAAAUUCGUAGAUAUUGGGAAGAACACCGGUGGCGAAGGCGGCUCACUGGCUCGUAACUGACGCUCAUGCACGACAGCGUGGGGAUCAAACAGGAUUAGAUACCCCCGUAGUCC
rnacentral:rRNA from 1 species